rnacentral:rRNA from 1 species
UACGUAGGGGGCGAGCGUUGUUCGGAGUUACUGGGCGUAAAGCGCGCGUAGGCGGUGCGGUAAGUCAGGGGUGAAAUCCCGGGGCUCAACCCCGGAACUGCCUUUGAAACUCCCAGUCUUGAGUUCGAGAGAGGUGAGUGGAAUUCCGAGUGUAGAGGUGAAAUUCGUAGAUAUUCGGAGGAACACCAGUGGCGAAGGCGGCUCACUGGCUCGAUACUGACGCUGAGGUGCGAAAGCGUGGGGAGCAAACAGG